CCGUCGCACCACUUCCUUCGUCUCUCCCCGUUUCCUCCAAAAUGGCCUUCUUCACCUCUCUUCUUAGAAGAGCUUCUUCUUCUUCUUGCUCAUCUCUUCUUCGGAACCGGGGCUUCAGCAAUCUCCCUGAAGACACGGUGUAUGCGGGACCCACUUCCCAGGCCUCGAUCAAGACAGUGACGUUGGCCUAUCUUAGGCAGAAGCAUAGAAUGGGCGAACCCAUUACCAUGGUCACUGCUUAUGAUUACCCAUCGGCGGUGCACUUAGACAUGGCCGGUAUCGAUGUCUGUCUCGUCGGAGAUUCGGCUUCCAUGGUAGUUCAUGGACACGACACCACUCUGCCCAUCACCCUCGACGAAAUGCUUGCUCAUUGUCGUGCCGUCGCUCGUGGUGCUAAGCGGCCGCUUCUGGUAGGCGACUUGCCUUUCGGAGCUUACGAAUCGAGUACUGGUCAGGCAGUUGAUACAGCAGUUCGCAUAUUAAAGGAAGGAGGAAUGGAUGCAGUAAAAUUGGAAGGAGGGUCGCCUUCAAGAAUUACAGCAGCAAAAGCUAUUGUUGAAGCUGGAAUUGCUGUCAUAGGACAUGUGGGACUAACUCCACAGGCCAUUAGUGUUUUAGGGGGUUUUAAGCCUCAGGGAAAGAAUGUGUCUGGUGCUGUCAAGGUUGUAGAGACUGCUUUGGCUUUUCAGGAAGCUGGAUGCUUCUCUGUUGUUCUAGAGUGUGUGCCUGCACCUGUGGCUGCUGCGGCAACCGCAGCCCUUCAAAUACCCACAAUAGGAAUCGGGGCUGGUCCAUUUUGCAGUGGACAGGUGCUAGUUUAUCAUGACUUGCUUGGUAUGCUGCAACAUCCCCAUCAUGCAAAGGUCACUCCAAAAUUUUGUAAGCAGUACGCUCGUGUUGGAGAGGUUAUCAAUAAAGCCCUCCUGGAGUACAAGGAAGAAGUGACAAGCGGCUCAUUUCCUAGUCCUUCCCACAGCCCAUACAAGAUCAAUGACACAGAUGUUAAUGAUCUUCUAAAUGAAUUGCAAAGGUUAGGUUUGGACAAGGCAGCAUCGGCAGCAUGUGAAGCAGCUCAGAAGGUAAAAGAAUCAUCCAAAUCAGUGACAGAAAAUCCAUCAAAGGGAAUGGUUUAGAAAGAGUUGAACAGGUUUUUAGGACCAAGUCGGGGUUUAAAGAACAGCUUGAGACAUGAAAGCUUGCACAAUUUCUGGCACUGUUUGGAAGGCAAGGGAUAAUCUGACUCAAACAAAUUGAGUGGAGGCUGAAGGAAGAGAAGAACAAAAAUGGAUAAAAAAAAAAAGUGCCAAAAAUGUAUAAAUCCCGAGUGUUGAUUGAGGUUUCUUGCCUUCCUUUUCUGGUACUAUAAAUCCCUCCUUGAAACAUACUAUAUAUUGGAAGCAGCAAGGUACGGGUUGACUUUCGUUUUUUUUUUUUAGCGUCUUUUUUUUGGCUACACC